CCUACGGGUGGCAGCAGUGGGGAAUCUUGCACAAUGGGGGAAACCCUGAUGCAGCGACGCCGCGUGAGUGAAGAAGUACUUCGUUAUGUAAAGCUCUAUCAGCAGGGAAGUAAAUUACGGUACCUGAGUAAUAAGCCCCGGCUAACUACGUGCCAGCAGCCGCGGUAAUACGGAGGCAGCAGGCGUUAUCCGGAUUUACUGGGCGUAAAGGGAGCGUAGACGGGAGGGCAAGUCUGUUGUGAAAGGCGGGGGCUCAACCCCAGGAUUGCUCUGGAAACUGUACGGCUGGAGUGCAGGAGAGGUAAGUGGAAUUCGUAGUGUAGCGGUGAAAUGCGUAGAUAUUACGAAGAACACCGGUGGCGAAGGCAGCUUACUAAACUGUAACUGACAUUGAGGCUCGAAAGUGUGGGGAGCAAACAGGAUUAGAUACCCGAGUAGUC
rnacentral:rRNA from 1 species